UAACCCACAAGACUUUUGGGGCGAGAAAAAGACUUGUUAUUCUUCGCGCGACCCCGGACGACGAUGAUUUCGUACCAGGUGCCAUCAUCAAAAAAGAAACAGAUGCACCCACCUCCCUCGCAACGUUCAUUGAGGGUGCCAUGGUGAGAUUUGAUAUAUA
rnacentral:sRNA from 1 species